UAUUACGUUCGCUCUGGUCAAAUGCCGCCAGCACGCCAUCAUGAAGCCGACCCUAUGAUCUGUUGCUGGCAAUUACUUUUCUUACGAGUGGACGUGAAAAUCAUGGGAAACAUACGUUGCAGAAUGUAAGGAGUAUCGUGGAGGAAAAUUUUCGAAUGUUAGAUGGCGUUUGAACGCGCGAAGUUGGUGAAUGUCGCGCGUGCUCUCGAUCAUAUCUCGCAGAGUGCACGAUAAUUCACACGAGAGCAAGCUAUUAAUAAUCUCCUGUGACUUGCGAGUAAAAGCCGCCUGGGACAAGAAUGGAUGAAGAAGAGGCUACGAGAAAGAGAGAAAUAUGUUGUGAAAAUGGCGGGCGAGACCGAGGAUACUCGAGCGAUGCUCAUUACACUUCCGUAGUUGCCACCCAGAAUCGUCUUAGGCACCGUAACUCAACGUUGGACAGUCACAUAGGCGACCUACCGACGUCAUAAACAACUCAAGAAAGUUCGAUUGUGAAACUUUCCUGGAAAUAAGGUGGCAAGAUGCUCCGACCGAGAAUCCCAAUAUGCGUUGCGUCAUACACGGCCCCCGUUGGAAAACAAACGUCACUGAACUAUUAAAAGUUCCAAAUCCCUAGACAGACCAGGAGCAUAAAUAAUUUUCUGCUCGGUCGCGCCGUGAUUUAUCUGCAAUUCUAAUGUUUCGGAUAUGAGUAAGCUGAUAUCGUAGCAUUUGAUUCGUUUCAUCAAUCAGAUGGAAUUGAACGAUAUUACGCACCUAUAAAGUAAUAGUAUU
rnacentral:misc_RNA from 1 species